rnacentral:rRNA from 1 species
GACGAACGCUGGCGGCGUGCUUAACACAUGCCAGUCGAACGGAAAGGCCCUGCUUGUGUGGGGUGCUCGAGUGGCGAACGGGUGAGUAACACGUGAGUAACCUGCCCUUGACUUUGGGAUAACUUCAGGAAACUGGGGCUAAUACCGGAUAGGAGCUCCUGCUGCAUGGUGGGGGUUGGAAAGUUUCGGCGGUUGGGGAUGGACUCGCGGCUUAUCAGCUUGUUGGUGGGGUAGUGGCUUACCAAGGCUGUGACGGGUAGCCGGCCUGAGAGGGUGAACGGCCACAUUGGGACUGAGAUACGGCCCAGACUCGUACGGGAGGCAGCAGUGGGGAAUAUUGCACAAUGGGCGGAAGCCUGAUGCAGCAGCGCCGCGUGCGGGAUGACGGCCUUCGGGUUGUAAACCGCUUUCGCCUGUGACGAAGCGUGAGUGACGGUAAUGGGUAAAGAAGCACCGGCUAACUACGUG